AGAGUUUGAUCCUGGCUCAGGACGAACGCUGGCGGCGUGCCUAAUACAUGCAAGUCGAGCGGUCCCUUCGGGGAUAGCGGCGGACGGGUGAGUAACACGUAGGCAACCUGCCUGUAAGAUCGGGAUAACUAUCGGAAACGAUAGCUAAGACCGGAUAACUGGACUUCUCGCAUGAGAAGUUCAUGAAACACGGAGCAAUC
rnacentral:rRNA from 1 species